UACGUAGGGAGCUAGCGUUGUCCGGAAUCAUUGGGCGUAAAGCGCGCGUAGGCGGCCCGGUAAGUCCGCUGUGAAAGUCAAAGGCUCAACCUUUGAAUGUCAGCGGAUACUGCCGGGCUAGAGUCCGGAAGAGGCGAGUGGAACUCCUGGUGUAGCGGUGGAAUGCGCAGAUAUCAGGAAGAACACCAACGGCGAAGGCAGCUCGCUGGGACGGAACUGACGCUAAGGCGCGAAAGCUAGGGGAGCAAACGGG
rnacentral:rRNA from 1 species